rnacentral:rRNA from 1 species
CCAGCAGCCGCGGUAAUUCCAGCUCCAAUAGCGUAUAUUAAAGUUGUUGCGGUUAAAAAGCUCGUAGUUGGAUCUCGGCGGCCAGGGGGUGGUUCGCUCUACGGCGUUACUGCCCCAUUUGGCCGUGUGAUUGGCGGAGGUUUCGGGGUGCUCUUCGCUGAGUGACCCGGGGCGCCGUCAGGUUUACUUUGAAAAAAUUAGAGUGCUCAAAGCAGGCUUUCACGCUUGAAUAUUCGUGCAUGGAAUAAUGGAAUAGGACUUUGGUGCUAUUUUGUUGGUUUAUGGGACCGAAGUAAUGAUUAACAGGGACAGUUGGGGCCGUUUAUAUUUCGUUGUCAGAGGUGAAAUUCUUGGAUUUACGAAAGAUAAACUUCUGCGAAAGCAUUCGGCAAGGAUGUUUUCAUUGAUCAAGAACGAAAGU